rnacentral:rRNA from 1 species
CGAACGCUAGCGGGGGGCCUAACACAUGCAAGUCGAGCGAGAAAGUACAUCUUCGGAAGUACGAGUAGAGCGGCGAACGGGUGAGUAACGCGUAGGGAAUCUGCCCUAAGGUGAGGGAUAACCAGCUGAAAGGCUGGCUAAUACCACAUGAUAUUUUGAUGUCGCCUGGCAUUAAAAUCAAAGAUUUAUCGCCAUGGGAUGACCCUGCGUUCCAUUAGCUUGUUGGUAGGGUAAAGGCCUACCAAGGCUACGAUGGAUAGCUGGUCUGAGAGGAUGAUCAGCCACACUGGGACUGAGAUACGGCCCAGACUCCUACGGGAGGCAGCAGUGAGGAAUAUUGCGCAAUGGACGAAAGUCUGACGCAGCCACUCCGCGUGUAGGAUGAAGCCCUUGCGGGUGUAAACUACUGUUAGAAGGGACGAAUGCCUCGGUUUUGCCGAGGAGGGACGGUACCUUCAGAGAAAGCUCCGGCUAACUCC